rnacentral:rRNA from 1 species
CUCAGUUCGGAUCGGAGUCUGCAACCCGACUCCGUGAAGCUGGAUUCGCUAGUAAUCGCGCAUCAGCCAUGGCGCGGUGAAUACGUUCCCGGGCCUUGUACACACCGCCCGUCAAGCCAUGGGAGCCGGGGGCGCCUGAAGUCCGGGACCGCGAGGACCGGCCUAGGGCGAAACUGGUAACUGGGGCUAAGUCGUAACAAGGUAGC